GUACCAAUAUGAUUUAAUUAUUCGUUUACAGUAAAAAUAGCUGCAUGUUGACAGUUUAGAUCCAAACUUGAUUAGCAGUUAUUAUCAUAGUUCAGUAAUUAUCAGUUUUAGAUUAUUUGUUUAUUUUCUGCUGUAAAGUGAAAAGAAGUGUAUUAUUUCUCCCACUCGUGUAAUUGUAUUAUGAGCGUAGGGAAUUUAAAUAUAAUUAUUUUUUUUUAGUGUUGUUUAAUUAUUAUCAUGGACAAUGGACCUUAUACUUUUCUGACAUCAGUUUGAUAAAUUUCAAGACGCUGAUUAUUAAUAUGGGAUAUAUUAAUAUUAAUAUUAUAUUAAUAUGCAAUAUACUUAGUAAAAUGAUUUUAAAUAAACUUAUAUAGGUCUAUCUACUGACAUAAACAACACAUAUACAACGUGAAAAAUGUCUUUUACAUUCAGUUCAAACAUUGAGCCAUUCUUGAUUAAUAAUUUUAAUAUUCAGUCAUUUAUAGGUCUAGUAACUGUAUGUGUAGGGUUGAUGGCCCUAGCAAUUAUAUUUGAAUCACUUAAAACUGUGCAUUAUAUGACUAAAGUUCACAAACGUUUAUUAUGUUGUAGUCAGCCUGGAUGUAAAGAAUAUGUCACUAAAGAACAUUUUUCUAUUUCAUUUAAAAUGAGAAUAAUACACUGUGUUAAAGCAUUAGGAAUUUAUUUGCUUCAAAUGUUGAUUGGAUAUAUUUUAAUGUGUGCUGUAAUGACUUACAAUGUGUUAGUUUUCAUUGCUAUUGUCGGUGGAUAUGGCUUAGGUUACUGGAUUUUUGGAUUAACUAUGAUGCAUAUUGCAGCAAAAAAUUUAUUGAAAUCUAAAAAUGUUUCAGUUAAAUGUAAAACGUGUGCUGUAGCAGAAACGUCGAGUAAUUAUAAGAUUUUUAAAACUUAGAAUUCAUAACUAUAAAGUUGCUAGAGAUACAUUACUGUGUUUUCCUUACCAUAAUAUCAACCUUAACAAAAGUGUAUUGACAUGUGAAAUGAAAUGAAUAUGCCGAAGAAAGUACAAAUACUGAACUAAGUGAUGAUACACCAGGUACAAGCUCAACAGUAGUUGUAGAAGUGCAUAAGAGAUAGUCAACAAUUUGUUCUUCUGUAAUUAGGUUACUAUUUUUUAUAUAUUAAGUCUCAAUUGAUUUUUUUUGGAAUUUCAAAGCUUUAAAUUUAUAGUUACCAAAAAGUUAUAUAUUUUUAUAAUUAUGACUAAUAAAUAAUUAAAUAAAAUUUUGUUUAAAAUUUGUUAACCCGUAAGUAUAGUAGGAGAAUACUUUAAAUUAUAACAAUAGAUUAUAAAAAGUAAGUUUAGAAUCAAGUCUGUAUCAUGCAAAUAACGAAAAAUAUAUCAAAUAGUUUUAAUAUAUUAUUAAAUGAAGGCUCA